UACGUAGGGUGCAAGCGUUAAUCGAAGAUUACUGGGCGUAAAGCGUGCGCAGGCGGUUUUGUAAGUUUGUCGUGAAAGCCCCGGGCUCAACCUGGGAAUUGCGAUGAAGACUGCAAGGCUUGAAUCUGGCAGAGGGGGGUAGAAUUCCACGUGUAGCAGUGAAAUGCGUAGAGAUGUGGAGGAACACCGAUGGCGAAGGCAGCCCCCUGGGUCAAGAUUGACGCUCAUGCACGAAAGCGUGGGGAGCAAACAGG
rnacentral:rRNA from 1 species